rnacentral:rRNA from 1 species
AGUGGCGGACGGGUGAGUAACGCGUGAGAAUCUGCCUUGGGGUCGGGGACAACCACUGGAAACGGUGGCUAAUACCGGAUAAGCCGAUUGGUGAAAGAUUUAUUGCCCGAAGAGGAGCUCGCGUCUGAUUAGCUAGUUGGUGAGGUAAGAGCUCACCAAGGCAGCGAUCAGUAGCUGGUCUGAGAGGACGAUCAGCCACACUGGGACUGAGACACGGCCCAGACUCCUACGGGAGGCAGCAGUGGGGAAUUUUCCGCAAUGGGCGAAAGCCUGACGGAGCAAGACCGCGUGAGGGAGGAAGGCUCUUGGGUUGUAAACCUCUUUUCUCAGGGAAGAAGCUCUGACGGUACCUGAGGAAUCAGCCUCGGCUAACUCCGUGCCAGCAGCCGCGGUAAUACGGAGGAGGCAAGCGUUAUCCGGAAUUAUUGGGCGUAAAGCGUCCGCAGGUGGCGAUUCAAGUCUGCUGUCAAAGCACGGGGCUUAACUCCGUAAAGGCAGUGGAAACUGAAUAGCUAGAGUGCCGUAGGGGUAGAGGGAAUUCCCGGUGUAGCGGUGAAAUGCGUAGAGAUCGGGAAGAACAUCGGUGGCGAAAGCGCUCUACUGGACGGCAACUGGCACUCAGGGACGAAAGCUAGGGGAGCGAAUGGGAUUAGAUACCCC